UAAUAAAUCCAAUUAUAUUAAUCCGCAAUAUUUAAUUGGGACUAAUAUAGUUUGAUUUUAAUCUGAAUUUCGUACGGAUUUAAAUUUAAUACAAUUUUGUUGCAUACAAAAUGCCUCCUACUUCGAGACUAGUCGAGAUAUUUAACCUUUUGGAGACUAGACUUGAAGUAUAAAUUUGAUAUUUUAAUUGCAUUGAUAUUUGUAUAAAAGACAAAAAAUAGUAAUGAUCCACCACAAAAUAUUUCAACCGAACGUAUAGUAGAGUUACUAUAUUUCCUUUUCAUUUAUAUCAAACUUGAAAUAUUACUUAAAUAUUCCAAGUUUUGUGGAACUAAAAGACAAAACUUGCCUUAAAUGAUCCACAUACGUUUCCCAGCACACUGUCCAUCCAUUUGCACCUAAUUAGUAUAGUUUUCAUUCAUUUAGAAAAAAUAAAAUAUGACCUCACUUCUUAUUGGACAAGAAAAUAAAUUAUUUUUGAAAGACAAAGUACUAGGCCAAUUUCAUGUUGGGAUUGGACAGCUCUCACGUCGGCUAGGACUCUCUUCCGCCGCCUUUCACUUUCAUAAUUUCUCAAUUUUCAUUGGUCUAGGGUUCUUCAAUUCCCACUUCAAUUUAAUUUGGGAGCUAGCCUCCGCCCUUUGAUACCUAUAAAUACCCCACAUAUUUUUUUCCAUCCAAAGCAUCAACUUGUAGAAUUCUUUAGAGACGCCUCUUCUUCGAGCAUCAAGAUUAAUAUUGAGUGAUCUACUCGAUGCAAAAGGAGAUUUUCAACUAAAAAAAAACUACUACACUGGAUUACAAAUUUCAAUAAUGCGUCGCCUCUAUUUAUAGAAGCAGCUGGGUGGUUUCCUUUUAACCCCUAAUCUGUGAUGAACUCAAAAAAGGAUUUGUAGAAAUCCUAAUCAAAUAUGGACGAAUGACGCAAACAGAGAUGGUGCAACAUUCAAUUCCAAGUACACAUUGGAAUUGAAUAUUGAAAUGGUUUCCUCCAGGAUUCAAUAUUUGUCUCCUUAUGGUAAAGCAACUAUGAAUACACAAUGAUUUGUAAUAAUUUUAUAAUAAUAAUAUUUAAUUAUUAUUAUUAAUCAUGAUCACUUAGUAUUGUUUUUG